rnacentral:rRNA from 1 species
GAUGAACGCUGGCGGCGUGCCUAAUACAUGCAAGUCGAGCGAAUGGAUUAAGAGCUUGCUCUUAUGAAGUUAGCGGCGGACGGGUGAGUAACACGUGGGUAACCUGCCCAUAAGACUGGGAUAACUCCGGGAAACCGGGGCUAAUACCGGAUAACAUUUUGAACCGCAUGGUUCGAAAUUGAAAGGCGGCUUCGGCUGUCACUUAUGGAUGGACCCGCGUCGCAUUAGCUAGUUGGUGAGGUAACGGCUCACCAAGGCAACGAUGCGUAGCCGGCCUGAGAGGGUGAUCGGCAACACUGGGACUGAGCCACGGCCCAGACUCCUACGGGAGGUAGCAGUAGGGAAUCUUCCGCAAUGGACGAAAGUCUGACGGAGCAACGCCGCGUGAGUGAUGAAGGCUUUCGGGUCGUAAAACUCUGUUGUUAGGGAAGAACAAGUGCUAGUUGAAUAAGCUGGCACCUUGACGGUACCUAACCAGAAAGCCACGGCUAACUACGUGCCAGCCGCCGCCGUAA